rnacentral:rRNA from 1 species
UACGUAGGGUGCAAGCGUUGUUCGGAAUACUGGGCGUAAAGCGUGCGCAGGCGGUUUUGUAAGUCUGUCGUGAAAGCCCCGGGCUCAACCUGGGAAUGGCGAUGGAGACUGCAAGGCUAGAGUGUGUCAGAGGGGGGUAGAAUUCCACGUGUAGCAGUGAAAUGCGUAGAGAUGUGGAGGAACACCGAUGGCGAAGGCAGCCCCCUGGGAUAACACUGACGCUCAUGCACGAAAGCGUGGGGAGCAAACAGG